AGUUGCCUGGUGAGCACAAAGCGAACUAUUCUUUCGCCUUUUACUAAAGAAUACCAUGUGCACGCCACAUCAAGCAGCAGACACCUAUUUUUGAAGGGAUCUCUCCUCUUAUGAGAAGGGU
rfam:Triticum aestivum genome assembly, contig: Triticum_aestivum_CS42_TGACv1_scaffold_513549_6BS